UGCCGCUUCAAGUUGCAGAAACUCCUUGCUGACAUAAAAUUCUAUUAUUGUGGUCAGCCUACUGUGGAUUGAGCCUCUCAGACCUGGAUGCAACAGCCUGCUCUCCCUCAUUUCGCUCUCCUAAACAGGAGUAGGAAGAGGACGUGGUUGAAGCACAGUACCAGGGGAGCUGUCCCUGUUUCAUGAUCUGCCUGACCAGCUAUCCAUCUCACUCAGGCCCCAGCACUGGCCCAUGGAUGUGUCUGAUUUAAAUCUUCCAAGCCCUAACAGCCCCAAAGCCUUCAAGCAACAUGUGAUACAAAUUUCAAUCUCGUCUUAAUAGGGCAGAUUCUUUAACAGUUUUAUACAGUUUCCUAUUGCAAUACUAUAGAGAGGUCAAGUCAACCAUUAUUAAAGUCUUAAAAUCUUUUUUUGUCAUGAAUAGGUAAUUUAACAAUAUUAAUUGUUGUUGUGUUGUGUUGUGUAGUGUUUUGUUCAUACACACUCAAUUUCACCCUGAUUAUCCUUUCAGGAUGUUACUUUAAGUGCGUAUGACACCAAAAAGCAUGUUUAUGUCAUAUUUCACGUGGUGUUUUAUGCUCCUGAAUGAAAUGGACUGCUUGGAUGUGUGUGGAAGCGAUCAUUUUAUAUUUUCAAUUUUUGAAUUCCGCACCAUGAAAAUGAAUGACUUCCAGCUCCUGACUCGGGUUUAGGAUGAAUCCGAAUGUGAUGUCACCCGGGUCAGCAUCUCACAAUACAGCAUUGCUUUAUAGCAUGCAGAUGGACUGCGAAUUCAGCUGAUUUUGCGAAUUAAUUCGGGGGGGGGGUUUCGCAUCACGCCAGCCAAACGGCUGCUGGCUUUUGUGGCUGCACCAGGGAGAGGCAUGUGAGCCUUUUUCGGUUUCAGAAAGUUCCCGUUUACCUCGAGAUUGGCCAAAACAACUGUGGGACCAUUGGACUUACGAGGAAGCCGACGGCUGGCAGCUUGUCGCACAUCCGCCCGCCGGGAGAGUACUAUACCUGGCUUAUUGCCAUCUUCGUGUACCGGAGUUCUGUCAAAUUUUCCACCCGAUCAGAAAUUCAACUUUGUGUGAAAAUUGGCCGCGAAUACAGCGAUUACAAGUUUUGACGAACAGAGAGGCCGGACUCAGGCGGAUCCUGAUCGUUGCUGAGCGGAUCUUGUGGAACGUAUUUGUUAUGUCGUUCUGAGUGCAGCGUAACGCAGCGCACAUGGACCAAGUGGAAUUCCGGAGUCUUGCUUUGGGGUAAAGCCCAUGGCACUGUGGCUAACCUCCCUAGAUGUGGAAGGAAAGGAAGAAUUGACGGGAGAUUUCACUGAAAGAUUGUGCGGAUGGUGGAUAAAGAACCUCGACUGACAUCCAAACAAGUUCAAGUUGUCCUGCAGUCCGAGAGUACAACAGUGUCAACCCGUGCUAUCCGUCAGCGUCUGAAUGAAAAGGAAUCUAUGGUAGGUUACCAAGGCACACCCCACUUGACCCAGAGACAUACAAAAGUCAGGCUAGAGUUUACCAAAACCUACCUGAGAAUGCCAAAAAUGUUUCGGAAGAAUGUUCUCUGGUCAGAUGAGACAAAAGUAGAGCUUUUGGGAAAAGGCAUCAUAAUAGAGUUUACAGGGGAAAAAAACGAGGCCUUCAAAGAAAAGAACACGGUCCCCACAGUCAAACAUGGCGGAGGUUCCCUGAUGUUUUGGGGUUGCUUGGCUGCCUCUGGCACUGGACUGCUUGACCGUGUACAUUGCCUUAUGAAGUCUUAAGACUACAAACAAAUUUUGCAACAUAAUGUAGGACCCAGUGUGAGAAAGCUGGGUCUCCCUCAGAGGUCAUGGGUCCUCCAGCAGGACAAUGACCCAAAACACACUUCAAAAAGCAGUAAAAAAAUGUUUGAGAGAAAGCACUGGAGACUUCUAAAGUGGCCAGUAUUGUGUCCGGACCUGAAUCCUAUAGAACACCUGUGGAGAGAUCUGAAACUGGCAGUUUAGAGAAGGCACCCUUCAAAUCUCAGAGACCUGGAGCAGUUGGCCAAAGAAGAAUGGUCUAAAAUUCCAGCAGAGCAUUGAAAGAAACUCAAUGAGGGAUACCGGAAGCAGUUGUUCGCAGUUAUUUUGUCUAAAGGUUGUGCUACCAAGUAUUAGGCAGAAGGUGCCAAUACUUUUGUCUGGUCCAGUUUUGGAGUUUUGUGUAAACUUCUUUUUCUUUUCAUUUUCUUUUGUGUUUUUUCAUUGCAAGCAAAA